rnacentral:ncRNA from 2 species
CAAUUAAAUAUCGUUAAUAUUCGUAUAUCGUCGAUGAUAAGGAUCGAAAGUCUCUACCCUAAAACCGUAAAUUUUAGGACUACGAAUGUGGAUAUGGAACCU